UACGAAGGGUGCAAGCGUUGUUCGGAAUUACUGGGCGUAAAGCGCGCGUAGGCGGGUUCGUAAGUCGAUUGUGAAAGCCCUGGGCUUAACCUGGGAAUGGCAGUCGAAACUACGGAUCUUGAAUGUCUGAGAGGAUGGCGGAAUUCCCGGUGUAGUAGUGAAAUACGUAGAUAUCGGGAAGAACACCUGAGGCGAAGGCGGCUAUCUGGCGGUACAUUGACGCUGAGGCGCGAAAGCGUGGGGAGCAAACAGG
rnacentral:misc_RNA from 1 species